UACGGAGGGUGCAAGCGUUAUCCGGAUUCACUGGGUUUAAAGGGUGCGUAGGUGGUCUUGUAAGUCAGCGGUGAAAGCCUACAGCUUAACUGUAGAAUUGCCAUUGAUACUGCUUGACUUGAAUCAUGUUGAGGUGGAUGGAAUAUAUCAUGUAGCGGUGAAAUGCUUAGAUAUGAUAUAGAACACCAAUUGCGAAGGCAGUUCACUAAACAUGUAUUGACACUGAGGCACGAAAGCGUGGGGAUCAAACAGGAUUAGAUACCCUGGUAGUCCACGCCCUAAACGAUGUAUACUCGACAUAUGCGAUACACUGUAUGUGUCCAAGCGAAAGCGUUAAGUAUACCACCUGGGAAGUACGUUCGCAAGAAUGAA
rnacentral:rRNA from 1 species